rnacentral:tRNA from 1 species
AGUUCCGAGGUGUUUACGUCAAAAUGCAAAUUUGAAGACGCACCCUUAAAGGUGCCGGGGCUU